rnacentral:rRNA from 1 species
GAUGAACGCUGGCGGCGUGCCUAAUACAUGCAAGUCGAGCGAACAGACGAGGAGCUUGCUCCUCUGACGUUAGCGGCGGACGGGUGAGUAACACGUGGAUAACCUACCUAUAAGACUGGGAUAACUUCGGGAAACCGGAGAUAAUACCGGAUAAUAUAUUGAACCGCAUGGGUCAAUAGUGAAAGACGGUUUUGCUGUCACUUAUAGAUGGAUCUGCGCCGCAUUAGCUAGUUGGGAAGGUAAAGGCUUACCAAGGCGACGAUGCGUAGCCGAGCUGAGAGGGUGAUCGGCCACACUGGAACGGAGACACGGUCCAGACUCCUACGGGAGGCAGCAGUAGGGAAUCUUCCGCAAUGGGCGAAAGCCUGACGGAGCAACGCCGCGUGAGUGAUGAAGGUCUUCGGAUCGUAAAACUCUGUUAUUAGGGAAGAACAAAUGUGUAAGUAACUAUGCACGUCUUGACGGUACCUAACCAGAAAGCCACGGCUAACUACGUG